GUGGGGAAUCUUCCGCAAUGGACGAAAGUCUGACGGAGCAACGCCGCGUGAGUGAUGAAGGUCUUCGGAUUGUAAAGCUCUGUUAAUCGGGACGAAAGAGCCUAGUGUGAAUAAUGCUAGGAAGUGACGGUACCGGAAUAGAAAGCCACGGCUAACUACGUGCCAGCAGCCGCGGUAAUACGUAGGUGGCAAGCGUUGUCCGGAAUUAUUGGGCGUAAAGCGCGCGCAGGCGGAUCUGCCAGUCUGUCUUAAAAGUUCGGGGCUUAACCCCGUGAUGGGAUGGAAACUACAGAUCUAGAGUAUCGGAAAGGAAAGUGGAAUUCCUAGUGUAGCGGUGAAAUGCGUAGAUAUUAGGAAGAACACCAGUGGCGAAGGCGACUUUCUGUACGAAAACUGACGCUGAGGCGCGAAAGCCAGGGGAGCGAACGGGAUUAGAAACCCGGGUAGUCC
rnacentral:rRNA from 1 species